rnacentral:rRNA from 1 species
AACGAACGUUCGCGGCGCGCCUAACACAUGCAAGUCGAGCGAGAAAGGGCUUCGGCCCCGGUACAGCGGCGCACGGGUGAGUAACACGUAGGCAAUCUGCCCCUGAGUGGGGGAUAACCUUCCGAAAGGAGGGCUAAUACCGCAUGAGACCACGACCCCGCGAGGGGAUGAGGUCAAAGCCGGCCACUUCACGAAAGCUGGCGCUUGGGGAUGAGCCUGCGGCCCAUCAGCUAGUUGGUAGGGUAAUGGCCUACCAAGGCGAAGACGGGUAGGUGGUCUGAGAGGAUGAUCAGCCACACUGGAACUGGGACACGGUCCAGACUCCUACGGGAGGCAGCAGUGGGGAAUCUUGCGCAAUGGGCGAAAGCCUGACGCAGCGACGCCGCGUGAGUGAUGAAGGCCUUCGGGUUGUAAAGCUCUGUGGAGGGAGACGAAUAAGGCAUGGCUAACAUCCAUGUUGAUGACGGUAUCCCUUUAGCAAGCGCCGGCUAACUCUGUGCCAGCAGCCGCCGUAAGAC